GCUAGCUAUGGCAUGCUUUUGUAGAUCUAAUAAUUUAAUAUCAGAAUUAAAAAGGUAACACAUUUUCUUUCACAUGCGUACAAUGUUCGCCUGAGUAUGACAGCCACAACUGUCCUGGUCAUGAAGUUUUCUUCAGGGAAGUUAAUCCCUCAUAUUGCUGGACGUCCAAUGACCACUGUAGACGGCCGUGCUUCAACUUUAGGAGUUUCUAAGCUUUUCAGUGAAAUGAAGUCUUAUAAAAUAAAUGCCACAGACAUGUCUUGCUCAUAACUCAAUCAAUGCAAGCCCCUUCUCCCUAUGUUCUCCUAUGUUGUCCCCUACACAAUGGUGAAAACAACAAGCAUAUAGCCAAAUGUGUAAGACGAAGGCAGGCUGAGUUUAGCUCUUUUACUGAUAGAAACAAGUCAUCCAUAUUUUUCCUGUUUUAAAUAAACAACAGUGAAGGAUAAAACAGUAACCAAUUUUUAUCCCCUGACAGAUGACCUUCUAGCUCCAAAAACACCAGAGCAGGAAUCUGGAAAAUCAAUUACACUGUGCUCAAGUGCCCUGACUUGAUAUCCUUUUCAAAUGAAUUUAAAUGUUGUGGUGACUGAAAACAAAUAUUGAAUAAAGAUACUAAAUAAAUGCUUCCUUUUUUAGGAAAAGGUUCGGGGGCCAGAUAGAGGUAUCAGGAAGAACUUAACCAUUUCUUUAUAGAAUUAGGGUAAAACUUUCAUACCCAGUUUAGAAGGUAUUUCUAAAGCCAGAAAAACACUAAAUUUAUAAGAAAACCAAAUGUUAGGUAUCGGUUGUGGGCAAGGUUACAGGGGGAGGGAAACCAGGGAGACCAAGUACACCCAGGAGAUAGGAAUCAUGAUUGCCUGCAGUUUCAGUUCAGCUUCGUGUUUUUCUUCUGCAUCCACUCUUUUCUGAGUCACCUUGUCUCUGAAAGUCUCCCAAAAUGAGUCUCUCCCCACCGACAACUUUAGCAAGCAACAGUUACAAAAUAUUCUAGUGUUCCUCUUUUGCUUUCUCCCUUCUCCGGGGAGGGAAGGGAACCGUACAACCUGGGAGCACAAUGAAAUUGGCCUUUCUGCCUCUGAUGAAAUCAUCCCCCAAGUAACAGUCUGCAGUUCAAGUGAAGCUGUGGCUCACGCUGCGUUUCACAAAAGAAGGCCAGUAUGACCAGGAGGGAAAUUCUGCGCGAUAGGCCGGGAAUCCCCAGGGAAAUCUCGAGAAACGAGGGAUAUCCCCGUGGUUCUCUGCGGCAACUUCAGUUCCAGCCACAUCAAGCAAAGGGGUUUGCACGUGCUCUUCUUUCACCUCAGAAGCUCUUUCCUCGGAUAUCCACAUUGUUCACUCUCAUUCACAGUUAGAACAAGAUACAAGGAAGGAUUUGUAUGGUGUAAUGCUAGCAAGUUUCGUAACCCAACAGUUCUAGCUUCGAAUCCUAAUCUGGGAGCGUAUGUCAAAGAUGGAAUCCAACUUCUGCUCCAUCAAUGAUUCUGGAAGGGAAGUUUCAGGAGCUCCAGGGGGCACCCCGUAUUGCCAGAACCAAGGGGAGACCACUCCCACAGCAUCCUCUCAAUGCACCUCAAAAUAUCUGUACUCGCAAAUGGUGUGGGUAGUAAGGCAGAGAUGUCAAGAUUUACAUGCCUUGUGUAUGGAAAGAAUAUGCCCUCUUUUACAUUGAUUUAUUGUACCUGCUUAAAAUUUCUUCAUCUUCUACCUUAAAUUCAUUUUCUUAUUUUGACCUCGUACCAAUUAUCAGUUCAUUUAGGUUACAAAUGAUAAAACUAUCAUAUUAAAUCCCUUAAGGUCGAUUCAUUUAAUCAGAUUACAGCCUCCUAAAAUUUAGCUAACCCAGCUCGCUGCAGGAACAACCGUUUUGAAGGAGAAAAGUGUAAUCUAGGAGCAUGAGGUCCUUUAAAUACGUUUGGUUAGUCGAUUUCAAAACUGGGCCAGUCAGACUCUUGCCCAAGAUUUCUCUGUUGUAGCUAUUGAGAAAAACUGCAGGGCUGUAAGCCGGUAGGAUAUUAAUGCUGAGCUGCUUAGUGGACUUUUGUCCAGCAGAAAGAGAGCCCCUGACUGAAAGAAAAUCAUUCUCUGAUGACAUUGUAUUAGUAGAGUCCCGGCUUGCCCAGGUACGUGAAACAAUCCUCCCCAUCUUUGUUAAGUACAUUUGAAUUGGUUUUGUUUUCCUUCCCAACCAAAAGAAUUUUGACCAAUAUAAAGUUUUAAAUAUAGGAUUUAUAUGCAAGACUGAAUCAUUCUAUAGCUAUACUAUAUCCCUUUAUGUAGCUGAUUAAAGCAAAUAUAAGUAGACAUUGCUUUUUAUGAGUGAUUUGCAGCAUAUUGUAACAGUUGGCAGUUGGCACAAUAUAUAACAAUUCACUGUUAUUUUCUUAGUCAUUUUUCAUUCUCUGCAGUCCGUUUUGAAAGUGAUUUAUUUUUGUUCUAGACAUUUGAUUAAUUA